UUUAGCACUCGAGUGGAUGCCUAUGAAUAGUCAAGAAUGUACAAGUCUUUCCCCACUGCAAUUUCCUAGCAUUUCCAAACAUUACAAACUCCUCCUCCACUCUCUCACUCUCUCUGUCUACUGAAUUUUAUUGCUAAGCAAGUUUAAUUUUCAUCAAACCAAACAAAAUGAAGGUAUGCAAAUUAAUUUGUUUAAAUUCUUUUAGUAUAUACUAAUAUGUGAUUCAACUAUAUUAUUUACAUAUAUUCAUAAUUUUGGGCAGCAAGAGGUGGUUAUCAGACUAUCUUUGAGUGGGAAUGAUCAGAAAUGUCGGACCAAGGCCUUCAAAGUAGCUAUUUCUCAGCCAGGUGUGGAAUCAGCAGCUAUGACAGGGUAAUGGUAGCCUCACCGAUGCAGAGAAGAAAUGUGUGCAUCUCCGGUCGCCAUCUCUCAAUCAAGGCCGUCACUAGCGACCUAUCGUGCUGUACCCGACCAACAUCGACGCACCGGUAGAUACCGCCCCGACGUAGUAUAUUCAAGAUGCGAGGAUGUGGGGGGCGAGCAGCUAAGAUCUCCCAUGCUGAGUCCCCCAACCGGGUACAGACCUGAGCCUUAGCCUGUAGGUCGGAUGUCCUAAUAUGCUGCGACUUAUGCUCCCGCUGAAGAUAUAGUACCACUCGGUCGAAGGGCCCCGGAUCAAGAGGGUGGUGAUCCAUCUGUUUUACACAUUUUAAAUCAAUCAUUAACAAGUAGUAUUAGUUAUGUAAUUUUUUAUCGAAAAUUAUAUUAAGGAUUGUGGUGAUCCAUCUGUUUUACACAUUUUAAAUCAAUCAUUAACAAGUAGUAUUAGUUAUGUAAUCUUUUAUCGAAAAUUAUAUUAAGGAUUGUGGUGAUCCAUCUGUUUUACGCAUUUUAAAUCAACAAUUAGUAUUUGUUAUGUAAUCUUUUAUCAAAAAUUAUAAUAAGGAUUGUGGUGAUCCAUUUGUUUUACGCAUUUUAAAUCAAUCAUUAACAAGUAGUAUUAGUUAUGUAAUCUUUUAUCGAAAAUUAUAUUAAGGAUUGUGGUGAUCCAUCUGUUUUACGCAUUUUAAAUCAAUCAUUAACAAGUAGUAUUAGUUAUGUAA